GGAUGAACGCUGGCGGCGUGCCUAAUACAUGCAAGUCGAACGAAUCUCUUUUAGAGAUGAGUGGCGAACGGGUGAGUAAUACAUAGGUAACCUGCCCCUGUGCGGGGGAUAACAGGAGGAAACUCCUGCUAAUACCGCAUAGCCAUGAGCACCGCAUGGAGCUCAUGCCAAAUAUCCUUUAUGGGAUAGCGCAGGGAUGGACCUAUGGCGCAUUAGCUGGUUGGCGGGGCAACGGCCCACCAAGGCAACGAUGCGUAGCCGGCCUGAGAGGGCGGACGGCCACAUUGGGACUGUGACACGGCCCAGACUCCUACGGGAGGCAGCAGUAGGGAAUUUUCGGCAAUGGGGGAAACCCUGACCGAGCAACGCCGCGUGAGCGAAGAAGGCCUUCGGGUCGUAAAGCUCUGUUGUAAAGGAAGAACGGCGCAUACAGGAAAUGGUAUGCGAGUGACGGUACUUUACCAGAAAGCCACGGCUAACUACGUGCCAGCAGCCGCGGUAAUACGUAGGUGGCGAGCGUUAUCCGGAAUCAUUGGGCGUAAAGAGGGAGCAGGCGGCCGCAAGGGUCUGUGGUGAAAGCCCGAAGCUAAACUUCGGUAAGCCAUGGAAACCGGGCGGCUAGAGUGCGGAAGAGGAUCGUGGAAUUCCAUGUGUAGCGGUGAAAUGCGUAGAUAUAUGGAGGAACACCAGUGGCGAAGGCGACGGUCUGGGCCGCAACUGACGCUCAUUCCCGAAAGCGUGGGGAGCAAAUAGGAUUAGAUACCCUAGUAGUCCACGCCGUAAACGAUGGUCACUAAGUGUCGGGGGUCAAACCCCGGUGCUGCAGUCAACGCAAUAAGUGACCCGCCUGAGUAGUACGUUCGCAAGAAUGAAACUCAAAGGAAUUGACGGAA
rnacentral:rRNA from 1 species